UCAUAUUUCAUACAGGUAAGCCAAAUUGUACCACUCUACUUCUCAAUCUCACUAGUGGCCUCAUUUACAUAUCCGUACCAGGCUAAAUGGACCUUUUAUAAAAUAAUCUCUAACUUUCUCCCCUAGUUCUUAUGACUCUUUUUUCUUAAUCAGUAUGCUGCAUCCUCACCAGCGUCUGCUAUUCCUUAACAUGCCACAUAAGUUAACAUUCAGGGCCUUUUCACUGCCUUAACCUCUCUGCAGAAUGUUCUUUCCUAGUGGCAUGGCUUAUAUGCUUAUGAGAUUCUCUGCCUAUAUUGCCUCUUUAGACAGACCUUUCCUAACCACCUUAUGUAUAGUAGCAACCACCUCCACAUUCUGUCCCCAAUCCCUGCUUUUUCUUCUUAGCACCUGAUGGUAUAUAUUGCUUAUAAUGUUAUGGUCAGUCUUCUUCUCUGGGAUGUAAACUCUAUAAAAGCAGGUACAUUAUAUGGGAUACAGCUGUAUAACCAGCACACAGAAGUAUACCUGGCACAUGGUAAGGAGUGCAAUACAUAUUAAUUCAGUUUAUGAAUGGAUGAAUGGGAUUUCUGUUAUCCAAUAACAUAGUUUUUGUUUGAAUGAAUAGGAAAUUAAAGAAAGUUAAGGAUGUGCCCAUAAAGACAAUGAUAAAUAAAUUCAUGUUCAUUCCUCAAAUGAUACGAAUUUUUUUUAAGACUAGGAGAGUUAUUCAGUAGUAGUAAAGAAAAAAUUUAUUUUUUUAAAUACUAUUUCAGUUGAUGGUGGGCUUUAUUUGUUUACUUAUUUUUAUUCAUUUACUGUGCUGAGAAUCGAACUUAGUACCUCCCAUAUGCUAGGCAAGCUCUCUGCCACUGAGGUAUAACCCCAGCCCCUCAAAAUUUAUAUUUUCAACAAGACAGUUUACUUCAUAUGAAAUUCAUAAAAAGCCUCAGUAUUACUUUUGAAUGGAAAGUUGCAGUUAGUGUAUUUAGGCCUGAACAUUUAAAAAGCAAAUAUAUACAUAUUCAUAUACACUCCCAUACAAUAGUUUCAUGAAAGCCUAUCUGUAUAAACAGACGCAUCUUCUUUCCUCAACAAAUUCCUACCAGGAGGCCAUCAGCUACUCAGGACUCUUAGAGUCGUAUGUGUUGUAUCCUAUUAAUUUGGUACUGUUGCUCCUGUUUAAGAAAACGUGGUAAUAUCUACAUUGGUUUCACAGAGGCAGAGAAGUAUUCUGCAUGAUUAUGUUUGUGGAUUAUCUACUACUAUGCACCUCCUAGUUUACAAAAAUGUGGAAAAUCCCACCACAAAGCAGAUGUCUCUCUUCAUGUAUAAUUUGGUGGAAGGCAGAGCAUGGUGAGGAUGUCAGUUUUUACUAGUGAGCUGAAAAUCUAAAUCAUGAAAUAUAGUUAGCCACACCAAGGCCCCCCUGAGCCAUGGACAGAAGGUCAUUCUGAGUAUUCCUUGAAGAUGGCAGUCUGUUAGUGAAAUGAAUAGGGAAACACAAGUUGAGCCACUGGGCCUCUCUAGAAUUCAGGAAGGAUUUUAAUCUGGCAUGUUCAAUUUGUAUGUCAACAUUCAUUUAACUUUUAUCAUGUGGUUGUGUUCUCUGAUAAGGGGACAGCUGUGAUCAUGGGACAGAAGAAUGAUAAACCUUACUUCCUAUAAAGACUUUCAAGCCGAGUAACCCCUCUGAGAAUAAGUGCUCCCAAUACCAGUUCCAUUUCUUUUCCCGAAGACAGCUCAUGUUUAUUGUCCUUUCUUCUGUACUUUCCUGCACCAGAAAAGGAAGCAGCAAAGCUUAAUAGAGAAGGGCAGUAGACUAAAUUUAAACUAUUGUAGUAGUGUACUACUAGAGGUUUUUCUAGGAUUUGGAGGUCAAUAUAUGUUCCUUUCUCAAAGGGUCUGUAUGUGCACAGGCAGCCAACCAUGGUUGUUAAGUAAUGAUAAAAUUGUUCAUAGAUAGAUCUUGCUGCUAAAAAAGGAGUCUAAUUUUGCCAUUUGAACCAACUCAGUUUUAUUUGUAGCAGUCAAACUUUCACGAUACCUGUGCAUAAUAUAUCAGAGCUGGUUCAGUAUACUGGUAUCCAGCCUGAGGAGUGCAGAGUCGAAGAUCCCAGGAGGAAAUAAUACCACUAAAGGGCGGUCAUAAUUUACAUAUGUGUUCACAUACCUUCUCAUAGAAAUCCCAAAUGAAGUACAACAAGAAAGUACUGCUACUCUCCACUGACAUUGCAGUAGUGGACAGCCAUCCUACAUAGUGAAUCAGUUUAGACAUAGAGUUCAUGAAUCUACCAGGUUGUCUCUAGAGGACUGCGUGUCAUUGGUUUCAUGCGAGUGACCACAGAAAGCCACAACAGCCAGUUUUGCAAUGGCUCUUUCAGACUGAAGAACACUGCACUUGAAAGAAAUGUUGAUGUAAAGAAGAGGCUUCAUGUCUGAGAAACUACUAAAAGGAAUCCAGCUCAGGAGCUGAAGGAAUUGUGACCAACAAAAGAGGCCAUCCCAGAGAGGAAGGAUCUUAAACAGGAACAAAGCCCUUCCUAUAGGAAGCAGUGUGCCCUGAUCAUAGUGUCCAGGAAGUUGGUAAAGUCUUAUCUCCGUGUUCCUAAUUUUUCAUUUUAUACCAAAUACAUUCUUCUUGCAAUGUAUCUUAACCAAAGAUAGAGCCCCCCAGUAAGAUCGACUCAUCUCUGACACAGUUGCUAUAGUGAAGUAGCACAGAGUUGUUCACACAACUCAUCUGAGCAGGCACCUCACACGAAUGGAUAUUUUGUAAGCAUUCAGGGAAGUUCUGAAGCUGAUCUUUUUUUUUUUUUAAGAGAAAAAAGAGAGAGAGAGAAUUUUAAUAUUUUAUUUUUUGGCGGACACAACAUUUUUGCUUGUAUGUGGUGCUGAGGAUCGAACCUGGGACGCACGCAUGCCGGGCGAGCGCGCUACCGCUUGAGCCACAUCCCCAGCCCCUGAAGCUGUUCUAAUGGGAGGGAUCUACUGUGAUUGAGACAUUCAGAAAGACUCAUCUCUUUUUUUCAACGUUCUUUAGCGUAGCUACCAGAAUUUAGCCCAGGUAAAACUGAGUGAAAAUUCCAUUUUUUUUUUUUUUUUUUUUUAGGAUGGACAUUAGCUGGACCUAACCGCAGUUUUAGAGGUUCUGGAAAAGGUUGCCGAUUUCUUAGUAGAAGCAGUCAGAUAUAGAAGAACUGUAUCCAAUGGAGAGAAAAAGAAUAAAUUAAGUAAAUUUAAUCCGUUCAAAGAAAGAAACAAGCAAUGUUUAUAACACAAAGAUAGAAGAGGUGAGGAACCCUCAGAGAGCCCAGAUUUACUUCCAUGAAUCCAGCCCAGUGUGGUGAGACUCUGUUGAUUCUAUAUGAGGAAAAGUUCUUUGUUCUCCAUGUUGCAGUAAUCAGACCCAGCACUUUGCUUGGUUAUGACAAUGUGGGUCAUGGUUAAAUUCAUUCCUUGUCUGCCAAAGGAGAAAACAGCUUGUCACAAUUCUGGGGCACUCCUUCAACUCCACCCAGUGGAAAGUCAAACAUCUGCACAAGCAAAGGCCCUUCCCACCACAGCAUGGUCUCUCUUGUGUUCCCUGAAUCCCUCACAACUGUGCCUGCUACUGUGCAUUUCUGGGGGGUCUGUGAAGCAGAGAUGCUGAGACCAACCCCAGGGCCCCCUCUGAUGCACAGCAUGGGUAACUGCCACAGCCCUGUUGCAGUGCACUCGUGGUUCUUGAAAAGUUCCAGGUGGAGUACCAUUCUCUUCCUUUGCUCAUGCCUAAAGCAGUUUCCCUCCACUGUUAUGUCCUUCUCAUUAAGACUCAGGUUAAAUCUGUUGCAUUUCCUUCAUGGAUUUAUUAGCACUUAGUAAUGUAUUCUUUUAAGUGCCUCCAUUCAUUGAUCUCUGCUUCCUCAAAAUUCCUAGUGCUUGUAUGGUACAUAGUAUCAGAAUGCUAUUUAUCUUUUUUUGUGUGUCUUCCAUCUCUCCACAGUGAUAUUGGACACUUUUUGUGGACAUAUACUCUGUGCCUUAUGUAUAUUUUAUAUUCCUAGGGCCUACCAAAAGUAGGUUCUCAGAACUUGAUGGUAUAGGUAGUAGCUAGAUCCGUCUACUAAAUUUAGAGUUUGGUAUUUUCUAACUCUAAUAUUAAUCAGUUCAAGUUAAGGGACUCUGAAAGUAACUAAAUACAGAGUCAACAGAUCCAAAGUGAUUAUACUAUAUAGUCUUUGGUUCCUUCUGUGAAGGAUUUGGUACAAAGAAAAACUGACCCUGAUUAUUUUCUCUGAGAGUCCUGGGAGGUCAAUGAAAAAGAAACAGUUCAGGAAAGAGUGAGUUUGUUUGUUUAUUGUUUUUAAUUAAUUUAUUUACCAGUUUUCCACAGAGAAUUCCACGUGUUUCUACUCCCCGAGCAGUGUUGGCACUGGCUGACUGGAGAAACUGUGGACUCAGCUUCCUGGGCACCUGCACAUGGCACAAUCAAUGGAUUGUAGAAAUUGGACUGGAAAGGGGAAAGUCUGAGACCAUGAGGCUGAAUCAUUCCAAGCAGACCUCACAGCCGCUAGCACUGGGAGAGCAAACUAAGUCACUAAAAUCCCUGCAACUUCAGACAUUGAGUUGGGCAUUGGGCAUCUCACUCUAAUGGCAUCAAAAACGUGUUGUAAAGUCUCUUCUGCAGCCUAUAGCCAGAGCUCAUUAGGAGAUGUGAUUGUUAAUUUUAGGUAUCAGCUUUACUGCAUUAAGGAAUAGGAACAUGGUAAAGAAUUACUUCUGGGUGAGACUUUCAGGGGUGUUCUGAAGGAAAUUGAUAUGUGGUUGUACAGAAUGAGUGGGGAAUAUCUACCCUCAAUAUGGGUGGGCACAAUGCAGUCAGCUUUGGGUCCACAUAGAAACACAAGAAAGGCAGAGGUAAGUCACUCGUCUUUUUCUGCCCCUGGGAAAUAAAAACUGUUCAUUUUAGAGGAUGGAUUCCAAGACUGGCACCAAGUGACUCCUGGAUUCUCAGGACUUUGGACUUGGACUGAGAAUUAUGCCAUUAGCUUCCUUGGUUCUGAGGGUUUUGGAUGUCGACUGAGCCACAUGAGCAGCAUUGCAGGGUCUCCAUCUUGGAAAAAGGCUUCUGUGAGAUUUCUCAUCUUCUGUAAUUAUAUGAGCCAUGUUGUCUCUGCCUAGAUUUUAGAGUAUGUUGCAGAAAGCCUGAGAGCAUGGAUGGAGGCAUGACACAGGAUCAGAGCCACCAAAGAGACUUCCCUUUGGGUCAAUGACUUGGCAUUGUAGGAGUAGGGCAGCCCCUCAAGACCCUAAAACCAAAGAGCCAUCAGCCAACAAUUCCGGUCUGGACAAGAUGAGGGCAAACUGCUAACUUCUGAGAGCUGCUGGGUGAAGUGAGCCCAGCAAAAAUAUAGCAAUGACCUGUCUGAGGCCUUGGGGGAUCCAACCCUUUUCUUAGUGUGCACCUAUGUAGGACAUGGAAUCAAAAGAGAUUGUUCUCCAACUUUAGGACUUAAUGUUUUCUCUUUUUUGUCUGGCCUUGAACUUGGGAAUCCUCCCACCUCAGCUUCCCCAGUAGUGGGAUUACAGGCAUGGGCUACCAUGCCUGCUCCAAUCACUCCAUUCUUCAUUUGUUCCUCCCUUUUGGAAUGGGGGACUGACCGUCUGAUACCUGUUCCACCAUUGUAUUUUGGAAGCAUGUAACUUAUUCAUUUCACAGGCUCACAACUGGUGAAGGAUGAAUUGUGUCUUGAGUCUCACCCACAUCUGAUUUAUCGGAACCUUUGGACUUUUGAGUUCAUACUCUUGAUGCUUCAAGAAAAGGGUAGGCUUUAAUUGGUCAAGGUAAGACAAGUGUAAACUACUACUUUCCAGAGCAUUUCUAAGAAAUUUAGGGAUUCUCUGUCAGAAUCUAAGAAGAAGGAUGAAAAACUAACCUUCCCAUUCAACUGAACAUUUUAUUUUUUUUUUCUCUUUGAACUCAUAAGAAUAUCAGGGUAUGAAUUUCUAAGAGUCCUACAAUAAGGUAGUCUUGAUAAUGGAAAAUGACUUCAGUAGUUAUUUACUUCUAGAUUGAGUCUUUAGAAGAAAGUUUAGAUGCCAAACCCUGCCCCUCUCAAAAAACAAAAACCAGUCUGGUCCCUCUAAAAAGGCAUGAAGAAAUGGGUCAUAAACUGCUUCAGGAUACCAAGAAUGGACUCAGUUUGUGAGCCCAGUGGAGAAACCCCAUGAGAAAGCCAGCAAGCUAAGGUUAGGGAGCAAGUUUCACAGCUAUAUUUUCAUAUUAAGAAAAAAAAGUUAGAAAGUAUAUUAAAUUUCUGCACAUUCAACAGCAACGUCUGAACUGUUGGACAAUGACAAUGUUUGAUCAGGAGGUGCACAGUCAUUCGGCAGUCUGAUGAUGCCAUCUAGCCAUGAUGAAUUAAAGUUUGGCUGAAUCUUUUCCUUUCAAUUCAGUAAAUCCACUUAGUCAAUGUAUACAAGUAGACACUGUGCUCAGCCUACACAGGGAACACAAAUGUGAAUGAGACUCAAGACUCAGGUCCUACCUUGUGGGAAGUGAAAAUAGUUAUUGCAGAUAACUCCAUGAAUGGGUAAAUGAUCUAAGUUGUGUUGCAGAUGAAAAGAGCUCUGAGAGUUUUAGAGAGAACAGAAUCAAUCUACUUGAAGAGAGGAACUGGAAAUCCUUCUAGAAAAGUAGGGAAGACAGAAAGAAUAGUUAGAAGACAAAUGAUAACAAGCCUCUUUGGGCAAGAUAAUGUCUUGAGAAUAUGAGAGUUCAAUUUCCCUGAAAUUAGAAUGUGUACAAGGGAACAACUAAUGGGAGCAAAGCUUGUCCAGGAAAUGGGGUGGAGGUCAAAAGGUCAGGCCUCAGAGCCCAGCCCUCCUUGUCUUCUUCCAUUGUACUUUUAAAUGGAUUUUCAGCAAAUUGACUUCUUUAAAUGACUACUUGAAAGUCAGUACCUGUCUUCCACAGAUUCCUCUAAUAAUCAAGAUAUACUCACCAUUUUUCCCCAUUUUCUUGAUUGCAGUCAUCAAUGACAGGAGGAAAGAUGGCCAAUAGUUUUUGUGGUUGAACUUAAUUAUCACCCACUAUACACAAUGUUUUUCUUGACUAAAUUGUUUAAGAAUCAAGAAUGCUUUCAGGGCAAGCACAAUUCAGUAGUCCCCCCCUUUUUUUUUCUUAUUUUUUUAAAAGUCAUUCAUCGAAUUGCCCCAUUGUACUGUAAUUUUGAAGAUUUUUUUUUUUUUUUUACAAAAAGCCAAUCUGGUCUCUAAUUCCCUGACCAUUUUGAAUCUCUGAAUAACCUUAAAAGCUGAGUAUUUGACAUUUAAAGACAGCACCAGCUUUUCAGAAAAUUGAUAUUGCUUCAGCUCAAUUGCAUGUUUUCAACAAAGGCCUCUUUUACAAGAUAGCCAGUGUCAUUCUGGGGGAUUCAUCCCAGGACUGCCUCUGUGAUCCCACUUACCAGGCUUUGACAAUAGAACCCCCUUGGAUAAGGACUGCCAUACUCUGUUCUGUUACACUGGCUAUCUUGUAAAAGAGGCCUUUGUUGAAACCAUACAAUUCAGCUGAAGCCAGGUGAAUUUUCUUAAAAGC
rnacentral:lncRNA from 1 species